rnacentral:lncRNA from 10 species
AUGUACCCCCAUUCUAAAAGUCCUUUUUAUAAAUUCUUCUUGAAGAUUUUGGGGCCCUCAUGCAGAGUUCUUUGUGCCUUAUUCUCCAGAAACAGAACUUCAGCAUCUAGAGAUUUCAAGGAAACGGGAGCUGCUGAAACCACAGGAUCUGCUCGCGGGUUCCAAACACUCUGCACGGACAAUAUGACCACGUCCGUGUCCUCCUCCGACUCCCGUGAGGCCCUUUUCAUGGAGCCCAGGCCCUUCCCUGUUUCUCCCAGAGGAGGAAGUCCAAGGCAGGGUCUGCAUCUCCCUUGUCUUUGCAAAAACCCCACAACAGCUCUCCUGGAUGGUGUCUAAAGUAACACUUCUUGGUUGUUUAGUCUGGUUAUACGUGUUGCAAAUUCCCUAAUUCCUGUGGGGUUCACAGAGAGCUACAAACUUAUAAUAAAACUGCAAUGGAAAUUUCUGACUCUAUUUUUCGACUAUUACCAAAUCUUCUAAGGUUCUAAGACCCUUUGCUCUAAAGACAGAUAGAGAACCACUCUAAUACAAAACAGCGUUGGUUCUUCUCUCUCAAAGGGAAUUGGGACUGUUCGGAAAGUCCUGGAAAUUUGCUAUAUACUUUAAAAAUCUAGAAUGCCUUCCCAACUGGCACACUCAGGAUAUGAGGAAGCAAUGUCAUUGCAAAUCACUCCUGACCUACAUUUAAACUGAGUUACUUUGUUUAGGUUGAGUUUUCCCUUCGUGCCCACAGCAUCCUCAGAACCCUUGUCAUCAAGGCUUAGGUAGAAACCUCUGCUCUUCAAAUCGUGCCUUCCUUUCGGAUCUAGUUAAUUCUAGUCAGGAUUCUAGGAAGGCCUCCUUCUGAAGACAAUGCAAAAAUAAAAAGAGCGACAGACCUUCCUUUUGUUGACAGCUUUCCAUCAUUUUCAAAAUCAACUGUGAUUCAAACUUAAAAAAAAACCCAAGUUAGUGCCUGAUGACUCCCUAGACUCUGGGGCAUCAGGUAGUGCCAAAUUGAGAUUCCUCUGACAAUUUCUGAGGACAAAGAUCUUCAAGGAGGGCAGCUCUAGGGAGAGUUGAGUCAGAUCUGAAGUUGUGUCUCACAGACGCAGCAUCCACUGACUCCUGACUUUCAGUUUGUAUUUUAGACUCUUCCCAGGGGAUGGAGACAAGGAGCAUCCACUGACCCCUGACUUCAGUUCAUAUUUUAGAACUGUUCCCAGGGGAUGCAGACAAGGCAGUGAUCAAUCAGGAAAUAGCCAAACACGUGCAGAUGGUUGAGAACAGCUCUCCUUGAAUCCCAGUCAUGGGAGGUGAGGAAUGAUCAUUCUUCUACAUAGUUCUAUUAAAAAAAGUGAAAUAAAAUUUGUUCUAUUUUGUUAGAGUUGCAGAAAUAAGAUGACAAACACAUCCUCAAUUGGGUUAAAAACCACACAGCUCUGUCAGCAAUGUUAACAUUAUUUACAUCAAGUUCCUUGGCUAAAUGAGCAAUUUCCAUAUGUCUAGUUUACAUGAGCUCAAUUGUAAGUGUGGUAGAAUUGGCAUCAAAUAAAUGGCGUGUGUUCAGAUCUGGUUUUGAUUACCAAGAUUUCUAGAGUAUGUUUUUGUGUUUAACUCUUUUUUGUAACUUUGCCAGUGAAUGUUUGUCUAACUUCUGCCUCAUGAGCCCUCAUUUUCAACUCCCUGACAUAUGUCUAUGCUUGCAAUUUGUAUCUUGUAGUCCUUGCCGGAGCCCCGCUGCUCAGGAACACAUGCCCUGAGGCAGCAUGCCUGCACAACUAGCUUCCAUCUGAAUGCUUCAGACAUGUGCUGCAUUCAGGCAAGACCCCUUUGGAUCUUCCCAAUUAGAGCAAAGUCGCUAGUAUUUAACUUCUAAUUUUACAAGUAACAGGGAUUUGCAAUUAGUAACAGACAUCAAGACGACUUGUGACUAGCAUUAUACAUGCUAUUAAUUUCCACCCAUCUAUAAUUAAUUUUACAAUGGCUUUUAGCUAAAUGCUUAUUAUAGGAAAAUCUGUCAUUGAGAAACAGAAUUAUUACCUUUACAAAUGUAUUAUUUUCUCUGUAAGAGAAUUCUGACUACUUUCACCAGAAGUACAUUUUUAAAGUUAGUAUUUUGUAUUUGUAUAACUAGAUUAAAUAAUAUCCUGUUGGGUGAAGGACAUUUUAAGAUUACAAUCUGAAUUGCUUCUUAUGGCUUUCUAAAUUCAUACCUGUUCUGCAGCAGAAUAUUUAAAAAUUUAAGUACUGAAAAUAGUCUAAGCAAAGAAAAUUGCUACUUGUUAACUUUGGAAGACUUGAAGACAUAAAAUUUCACCAAGUGACAGAAUUAUAAAAAUUUCUUUUUGGGGGAGUUUUCAAGUAUUGUGAAACUGUUACUGAAAACAAAACAUUAAAAUAUUAACACUUGUUUUAAAAAGCAGGCAGACAAUCACCACUGUAAGAAACACAGAGCUAAUUAUUACGUGUCCUAGAGAAUGCUGUCGCAAUCAGUCAACUGAUAGAAGCAUGAUUUUCUUUUUAUUCAAGUUGACCCUUUGCAAAGGAUCCCUUUGGAGAUUAUUUCUGUGAAUAAAUAAUUCAUUGUCUUCUUCAUAUUCAAAGAUAUGCUUUUGAGAUAUAUGUAUAUAUGACUCUUCAGUAUAACUUAAAUAAUUUCUUUCUCCAGCAAUGGCUGUAAGAAUGCACAGACUACAAGAGACAAUAGUGAGAAAGCUGGUGAUCCACACCCUUUCCAUGGGAAACCUACAGGGAACUUUCCUUUUGGGUCCCCUGUGGUCAGCCUCAGAGCGACUAACACUUCCUAAUUCAAGAAACCAACCCUUGGCCAAUGCACAGUGAGAACCAAGAUGAAUCGAUUAAUGCACAGUGAAAACUAUAAUUCUCACAAAGACAAAAUCUCAUCAGCAGGUAUCUCUGUCCACCGUAGCCUGGUUUUUAGCAAACAAAAUAUUUGAAAUUCAGUGACGACAACCUCUGCUCCUCAGGCCAGUAUCUGGGUGUUAUUGUCCGUGUUCAGGUACGUCCAUCUCAAAGGAUGUAGAGCCACACACCUUCUUUCUUCUUAUAUCAUUUAUUUUGUUAUUUCCUAUUCAGGGCAGGGACUUCUCUUGGACAGAGAAACUGAGAAGUAUCGGACAAAGAUGACCUGCAUACGCUGGAAAAUAAUCUGUGGUUUGUAUGUAGGCAGAUGGAAGCAAACCAGGGAAACAUACAUUUAGAGGCAGACGGCUCUCACAAUAUCUUCUUCAAAAAACAUUAGGAUGAAAAGAGUUGCAGAACAUUUCUGGCAAAAUAUGUCAUUAAAACUCUUAGGCUAACUUAACUCUUUCUACCUACACACUUUAGUAAUUUACAAAUCAAUAGCGUUUAAGCAUGUAUUUCAUUUAAAACAGAGUCCACAUGAUUGAAAUAGCUAUGCAACUCUUAGAGACUCUCAGUAGAACUUUUAGCUGCUUAUUAUUAUCUCCUAAGGAAACAACUUAACUACCCUCUUCUCAUUAAAAAGUAAAUAAAAACAGUCUUCAUGAUAUUAUAAAGAUCUAAUAAUACUUCCUUCGACUUGUAGGAAGAAAAGAAGAAUUUGUAGUUCACAGUCACGUGAGAUAGUCGAGUGUUAAAGGGGAAAAAAGAGCUAUCAAAGCCAGGAAGCAAAAUGCCUUCAGAGAUAAAAGGUUAUUGGUGGCUGAGUGAAAAAAAAAAUGGAUAAUGAGCAGAAAAUAAUUUAUAUUACAAAGUCUUUAGACAUCAUUUACUUGGUAAGACAUUAUAAAUAUAUUUCUGGUCGUUCGUUUGCCUUAAAAUCCACUUAACUAAAAAGUGACUUUACAGUUUUAAAAUGACAUAAUAACAUAAUCUAUAUGGUACUACACUGAUAAUCUCAUCUAAUCUAUCCCUAUGCUGUGACCAAAUCUUCUGUUAAAAGUCUAAUUUUCCUAUUGAGUGUAUCAACAUUUGAUGUCCAUAUGAUCUUUAAGCUGCUAUAAAAUUAUCAAAAAUUAUGCUAGAAGAAAUCUUAACUUAUAUCUUUCUUGAGAUAUAGUUCCGACAUUUCAGUCUUUUUGAACUGUGGUUUUAGAAUGUUUACCUCUAGAAUAAGAAAACAGAAUUUUUUUUUUUUUUU